AACACCGACCUUUAAAAUACAUUAACUUGGCCAGUAAAGAAACUUGGACCAGUGAGUAUCUGAGAAGUCUGCAAUUCUCCCAGUUUUCAUCCUCUGCCAAGAAAGUUAAGAUCAAACCUUGAUGGGAGGCAGGAACCUAGCAGCAUUCACCCAUGGCAAGAGAGUACCAUGAAAAAGCUGGCCUUCAAUCCCUCGGCUCUUCAUUUCUGCAUGCCCACUGUAUCCAUCAAGACACUGCAGGAGAGGACAGAAGCGGGAUUCAAAGUUUCAGAGACAAUGAGGAACAGAGAGAUCAAUACUCACUGAACCCUCUUCAUUCUCUCUUUCUCACCAUAUCAGAGAGUCAUAGCUUCUACUAUUUGUUAAAAAUCUACAAAAGACUUUGUGCUGUGUUUCCCUCGACCGAUGAACUGGAGAUUCAGCAAUGAGAGCCAGUGAUCUCUGAAACUGGUCAGAAGGAGGUAUUAAUUACUCAACUCUGCAGACAUGGAAGAAACUACAUGUUGGAACUAAACCGACAAUAUGUGUUUCUCUCUGCGGAUCAGCACAAUUUCAUAAAAACUACAAUGAUUCAAGCAGAUGUUCAUCAUGGAACUGCCAGCAAAAGGCUGAGAAUCACAAAGAUAAAUUCUAGUCCAGUAUUUGGAAAUCUCCCGAUCAUACUCAAGCAUCUUUUGAAGCUUUGGUAAGAAUCUACAAAGAAUGAAAAACAUAAUUUGGGAGACUGUCAUAAACCUUGAUUAUCGAUGUAAUAACACGACAGCACGACUAACACUAGAAGCAUCGCUGUACACUUGACUCUUGAACGGUGCAGGGCUCAGGAGCACCAACUGGACAUGCAGGUGAAAACCCAAGUAUGACAUUGGCUCCCCAAAACCACUCUAAUAGCAAGAACAGGGAAAGGAGACCUUUUAUUGUGAUAGGGCCACUUACUGCUCACUUGGAGACAAUUAGCAUCACAGGGCAUUUUAAACAAUUGCUCACAAAGCUUGAGUUCCCUGCAUGAGCAACAGAAGGUGUUUACAAAAUUACUACCGCAACACAAAAAUAAACUCAAAAUGGAUAAAAGACCUCAACGUGAGACAGGAAUCCAUCAGAAUCCUAGAGGAGAAUAUAGGCAGUAACAUCUUCGAUAUCAGCCACAGCAACUUCUUCCAAGAUAUGUCUCCAAAGGCAAAGGAAACAAAAGCAAAAAUGAACUUUUGGGACUUCAUCAAAAUCAAAAGCUUCUUCACAGCAAAGGAAACAGUCAAGAAAACAAAGAGGCAACCCACGGAAUGGGAGAAGAUAUUUGCAAAUGACCUAUAGACAAAAGGUUGAUAUCCAGGAUCUAUAAAGAACUCCUCAAACUCAACACACAUGAAACAAGCAAACAUAUCAAAAAAUGGGAAGAUAUGAACAGACACUUCUCCAAUCAAGACAUACAUAUGGCUAUCAGACACAUGAAAAAAUGUUCAUCAUCAUUAGCCCUCAGGGAGAUUCAAAUUAAAACCACAUUGAGAUAUCACCUUAUACCAGUUAGAAUGGCCAAAAUUAACAAAACAGGAAACAACAUGUGUUGGAGAGGAUGUGGAGAAAGGGGAACCCUCUUCCACUGUUGGUGCGAAUGCAAGUUGGUACAGCCACUUUGGAGAACAGCGUGGAGAUUCCUCAAGAAAUUAAAAAUAGAACUUCCCUAUGAUCCUGCAAUUGCACUCCUGGGUAUUUACCCCAAAGAUACAGAUGUUGUGAAAAGAAGUGCCAUCUGUACCCCAAUGUUUAUAGCAGCAAUGGCCAUGGUCGCCAAACUAUGGGACGAACCAAGAUGCCCUUCAACGGACGAAUGGAUAAGGAAGAUGUGAUCCAUAUACACUAUGGAGUAUUAUGCCUCCAUCAGAAAGGAUGAAUACCCAACUUUUGUAGCAACAUGGACGGGACUGGAAGAGAUGAUGCUGAGUGAAAUAAGUCAAGCAGAGAGAGAGUCAAUUAUCAUAUGGUUUCACUUAUUUGUGGAGCAUAACAAAUAGCAUGGAGGACAAGGGGAGAUGGAUAGGAGAAGGGAGUUGAGGGAAACUGGAAGGGGAGGUGAACCACGAGAGACUAUGGACUCUGAAAAACAA